rnacentral:rRNA from 1 species
CCUACGGGAGGCAGCAGUGGGGAAUAUUGGACAAUGGGGGGAACCCUGAUCCAGCCAUGCCGCGUGUGUGAAGAAGGCCCUCGGGUUGUAAAGCACUUUCAGUGAGGAAGAACGCCUGGUGGUUAAUACCCAUCAGGAAAGACAUCACUCACAGAAGAAGCACCGGCUAACUCCGUGCCAGCAGCCGCGGUAAUACGGAGGGUGCGAGCGUUAAUCGGAAUUACUGGGCGUAAAGCGCGCGUAGGUGGCUUGAUAAGCCGGUUGUGAAAGCCCCGGGCUCAACCGGGGAACGGCAUCCGGGGAGGUGUGGAGCGAGUGCAGAAGCGGAGGGGAGACCCCCGGGGGUAGCGGUGCUUUGAGUCGAGCUGGUGAGGCAGAGCAGUGGCGACGGCGGCGUUAAGGAGUCAAACUGACACUGGGGUGAGAAAGCGGGGGUAGCAAAGACGACUGGAGGCCCGCGUAGUA